CAGUCGCCACGGUAAUACGUAGGGUGCGAGCGUUAAUCGGAAUUACUGGGCGUAAAGCGUGCGCAGGCGGUUGUGUAAGACAGGUGUGAAAUCCCCGGGCUUAACCUGGGAACUGCGCUUGUGACUGCACAGCUAGAGUACGGCAGAGGGGGGUGGAAUUCCACGUGUAGCAGUGAAAUGCGUAGAGAUGUGGAGGAACACCGAUGGCGAAGGCAGCCCCCUGGGCCAAUACUGACGCUCAUGCACGAAAGCGUGGGGAGCAAACAGGAUUAGAUACCCCGGUAGUCCCUGUCUCUUAUAC
rnacentral:rRNA from 1 species